rnacentral:rRNA from 1 species
AACGAACGCUGGCGGCAUGCCUAACACAUGCCAGUCGAACGAGACCUUCGGGUCUAGUGGCGCACGGGUGCGUAACGCGUGGGAACCUGCCUUUAGGUUCGGAAUAACUCAGAGAAAUUUGAGCUAAUACCGGAUGAUGUCUUCGGACCAAAGAUUUAUCGCCUUUAGAUGGGCCCGCGUUGGAUUAGCUAGUUGGUGGGUAAAGGCCUACCAAGGCGACGAUCCAUAGCUGGCCUGAGAGGAUGAUCAGCCACACUGGGACUGAGACACGGCCCAGACUCCUACGGGAGGCAGCAGUGGGGAAUAUUGGACAAUGGGCGAAAGCCUGAUCCAGCAAUGCCGCGUGAGUGAUGAAGGCCUUAGGGUUGUAAAGCUCUUUUACCCGAGAUGAUAAUGACAGUAGCGGGAGAAUAAGCGCCGGCUAACUCCGUG